rnacentral:rRNA from 1 species
GAAAGGGGUUGUAGCUGGCCAAAAAACAAGGCAUGUGCACACCCUGCUCAAUCCACUCUCAAACCCCUGUGCACUUGUUGUAGGCUAUGGUCGGAUAGCUGGCUUCGGUCGGUUUGAAAGCCUUGUCUAUGUUUAUUACGAACGCUUCAGUCAAAGAAUGUCACAUAGCGUCUAACGCAUUAUAUACAACUUUCAGCAACGGAUCUCUUGGCUCUCGCAUCGAUGAAGAACGCAGCGAAAUGCGAUAAGUAAUGUGAAUUGCAGAAUUCAGUGAAUCAUCGAAUCUUUGAACGCACCUUGCGCUCCUUGGUAUUCCGAGGAGCAUGCCUGUUUGAGUGUCAUGGAAUUAUCAACUUCUACAACUUGUGUUGUUGAAGCUUGGACUUGGAGGUCGUGUUGGCUUGCAAAAGUCAACUCCUCUGAAAUGCAUUAGCGUGACUCUUACGGAUCGCCUUCAGUGUGAUAAUUAUCUACGCUGUGGUGUUGAAGUAUUUAAUGUCAUGCUUCUAAAUCGUCCGCAAGGACAGUUACUUGACGAUCUGACCUCAAAUCAGGUAGGACUACCCGCUGAACUUAAGCAUAU